AGCGAUUUAGUUUAUUAGAAUUUAAUUUUUGGGGGAUUAAGGUGGAUUUCGUUA
rnacentral:tRNA from 2 species